rnacentral:rRNA from 1 species
UAGGGAAUCUUCCACAAUGGGCGAAAGCCUGAUGGAGCAAUGCCGCGUGAAUGAAGAAGGCCUUCGGAUCGUAAAGUUCUGUUAUUAGAGAAGAACAAGUCAAGGAGUAACUGUCUUGACUUUGACGGUACCAAACCAGAAAGUCACGGCUAACUACGUGCCAGCAGCCGCGGUAAUACGUAGGUGACAAGCGUUGUCCGGAAUUAUUGGGCGUAAAGGGAGCGCAGGCGGUUGGAAUAGUCUGAUGUGAAAGCCCACGGCUUAACCGUGGAAUUGCAUUGGAAACUGUCCAACUUGAAUGCAGAAGAGGAAAGCGGAAUUCCAUGUGUAGCGGUGAAAUGCGUAGAUAUAUGGAGGAACACCAGUGGCGAAGGCGGCUUUCUGGUCUGUGAUUGACGCUGAGGCUCGAAAGCGUGGGGAGCGAACAGG